rnacentral:tRNA from 1 species
GUGGGGGUUCCCGAGUGGUCAAAGGGGCAAGACUCAAGAUCUUGUGGCUUAGUGCCUUCGGGGGUUCGAAUCCUCCCCCCCACA